AGUGCUGGCGCAAGUCGUCUUGCGCCAGGCGACUGGGUCUGAGGAGGCAGGAGUUAUUCAUUCCCUUAAGCUUUCAGGCCGGGGGGAGAAUCUUUCAGGUGGUAGCUGCAAGAACUCUUAGUAUGUUGACCUCACCUCUGCCUUCCACAUACCACUACCAGUGAGGAAUUAGGAAUGCAUGAGAAGAGUGUCCAAGAAGAGUGUCCUCAUUCAUGCAAGGCUUAAGAGAGAAUGCAGGUCAACAUCACCAUGUCAAUCAGAGGUGCAGAUGCUGAGAGCACUUUCUAGUCAAGUCCUGCAUGUUCAUUUCUGUCUCAAGUCAGCUUCUCUGAGAAUCCAAUUUAUAAAAAUAUAUUUGUGAAUGUAUAAGUAAAGUGACUUGGAUUUUGUCUACGUACAAGGACUUCUAUGCCUGCAUAAAACAGCUUUCAGAGUGACUAACCAUACCAGUUUGACCAAGACUGUAUUGGCUGCAGCACUUAAAAGCUCACAUCCCGGAAAUCCUUUGGUCCUCGGUGAAUUGGGAUGGUUGGUUACCCUAUUACUGAUGAUUGUAAUUCUCAGUUUGGAACCAGCAGCAGCAGCAGCUCCCCAGACCUACUGAAUCAGAAUCUACAUUUUGAUAAGAGCCCAGGGUGACUCCAUGUACGUGAAAAAGUUUGAGAAGUCCUUAGACCUACAGUUCACAGCUUCUCCUUCUUUCUUAUUCAACUGAAUUGCAGUGGGACCUGAGUAUGGUUAAAAUAAAUGAAUAAAAACACAAAUCAA
rnacentral:lncRNA from 1 species